rnacentral:lncRNA from 1 species
CUGCUCCUGCCCACUCUGCUUCCACCCCUCCCUGGAGAAUGGUGGCUAGGAACACGGAGCAGAGACUCACCGCGGGCCCAUGCCCGGUUUGGCACGUGCCUCGGCCGUGAGGAGGAGGAGGGAUGCAAGCUUCGCUCCUCUACCCUGGUGCCCAGCAGGCGUACACCACCACAUGCCUACUAGGAAGCCACGGGGAGGAGGACCUAGUGCCGAACCCACAGCCCUGGCCUCCGUGGACAUGCCUCCCCCCUACCCCAGCAGGGAACAGAUGACCCCUAGAGAGCGCCCCACUGUCUACCCCGAGGUCCAAGCUUGCAGAGGCCACUCUGAAGUUGGCUGUCCAUCGGCCUCUUAACUGGGCUGUUUUUCGUCCAACUUCUCUACUGCACUUAAGAUGAUUUGCCAAAAACCCCUCCACCACCAUAUUAGCUGGAACAUUUGGGGUUGAAGUGACAGAACUCCCAAACAAAUAGGUUUGAGCUGUACCCCGUCUCUACCAAAAAAAAAA